AAGAGGUCAGCGGGCGGCUUCUUACCAAAACAAUCGCUCAACUUUUCCCAUCAACCUGUGGCAUCUGUACAGCCGGUGGGAUGGUGUGGGGGAGGCAGGGAGGCAGCCAACCAAAGCGCAUUCAAUCCGGCCAGGAUCGGUCCAUCCCGAUCGGGAAAGGGAAGCAGGAAAAUACUAUAACAACAAACGUCCUCAUCCUCGUACCCUCCCUACCACCACCUUCAACUUGCUCGCCACUCCCAGCCCUUCACGGAAUCGUCGUAACCGGCAUAGAACUUGUCGCCGCACCUUUUGCGGCUAACUUUCGCUUACCGGAGCAAUGGAAGGACGCUGACGCGUACCUUGCACUGGGGGGAGGGCGGAAAAGCGAUGGGAAAAGCGAAACAUCUCCGAACACCGUUCGCCCCGAAUCGCCCGAACUGUCCCGAACGCGCCCCGAACCGGUUCCGGUGUCACGCGGGAAAGCAGAUCCGGUUUUUUUUGUUAUUCCUGCAACACGGCAUCGUAUUCGCGCUCCCGGCAGCCGAUCGUCACUGCUGCGUGCAAGGAGAAAAGCCGAACAUCGCCAAACGCACAGGCCGAUUAUUACGAACAUGAAUUGCAAGUGAUGCUGUGCUGCUUCGUUCGGCGAACGAUGAUGAAUGACGACAAGCAGCAGCAACAGCGGUGGCAGCGGCGGCAGAUUGCCAUCACCAUUCGCACCGUAUAGAGAGUGUUGCGGGCGCCAGGUCCGCCGUCAGUCAGCUGCCGGCAGUCAGCGCGAGCACACCGGUUCUCGUGGUCGUUCGUUGGCCGUCGUCCUCGGUACCCCGUACCGGAUGUUUUCGCGUCGGAGUGGUAGUGCACGAGUGCUAGUUAAUUGAAGCAGUCAAAAGAAGAAGAACAAAAAAACAGCCAUCCGCCGUACACCUUUGAUUGGAUUCGUGACCCACGGCCGUGACACCGUGACUUUCACACGUCUGUACCUGUCACGCACGCACGCACGCAUCGUUUCAACGACAAAGGACUUUACAGGUUUGGCACGCAAAGGCGACGGGCCAUUCGUGCUUUGUGAUGUUUUAUUUCCUUCUUAUUGUGUGAGUGUAUGUGUAUAUGUGUGUGUGUCUACAUGUUCCGGUGUAUUGUUUGGUGAAGCACGUUCCACUAUUGCGCUGGAUUGCUUGAAACGUGUCCGAGCCGAAUCGGGUGUAGUUGAAUCGAAAUCCGUUUUACUCGAAUCGAGUCCUUGUGCUCCCCUCCGACCCCCAUGCCUUCCGAGUUCACCUCCCGUUCACCACCGGUCGCCGCGACGAAAGCGCGAAAGCAAAGGCCACUCUCGAAAGGAUUCUCAUUACAAAUCUCGAGUGUCCAAUAGGCAAAACCGGAGAACACAACGAGAAAAAGAAAAAAAAGGGUUCCAUUCCAAAAGUGUUUGGCGGGCGCUCUUAGUGGCAGUAGGCGGUGAUCGCGGUGGUGUAAAAGAAGAGCAAGAGAAAAAAAACAAAUCCGUGCAAACCGAAAGAGUGCGGUGCAAAUGGGUUUGCCAAGUUGUGCCGGAAAGUCAGCGAUCCCGCCAUGGGCGGUAGCGUAUUGCACGUGCAAACCUCGCUAGAAGACAGUGCGCGCGUACGAAGAAGUGUGUGAAAGUGGGCUAGAAAGGACUGUGGGUUCUCAGUGGUCAUUUCCAGCGUGUGGCGCUCUGGUGGCUAGUGCAGGGCAGGCGGCAAAUUCACCACCACACGAAACCCAUCAUCACGCGGCCGCGGCUUCAUUUGCAGACGCUCGGGGAAAGUUGUGCCAGCAGUGUGCAGCGAACGAAAAGUAACUGUUUCGCAGAAGAGUUAUUAAGUCUGUGUGGUGCAAAAAUUGACACGAGCAACAAGAGAGCAAAGAAAAAAACAGGCGAACUGUGCGUGGAGGACGACGAGCUGCGAUGGUAGUAGUGUGUGAUGACACACCGGGACUAGCAGCACGACCUCAACCUACGACCCGCGUCGUACCCGGGAUGCAAUGGUGUGCAGCGGCGAUGACACGAGCAGUUCCAUGCGCUAAACUUGUGAAGCGCUAUUAAUUGGUGACCGAUGCCAGCAAAUACAGCAAAAGUCUAGACGCAAGAGCACUCUCGCGAAAAAAACACUCAACUCAACGUACUCUGGAGCGCUUGGUACCUCGAAGUGCACCGAAAUUACAGCGAACCUCCAUUACAGGACGGAACGCCGGUCAGUAGCGGCAGACACCAGUGGUCAGCGGUCCUGUCCAGCAACUAGUCGCAGCAAUCUGAUUGUAAUCUACCAUACAGCCGGGUGCGCACAAUCAACUGGGUGAUACAACAGGAGUGGCACAACGGAGCAAACGGAGUGCACGGAGCGCAACAAAAAUUCCAUAGAUAUGGUCCGCCAUGGUGUCAACAAACGGUGGCCCUUCUACUGUCGCUGCUGCUGUUGCCGCUGCCGGUACUGCUGCUGCUACUGCGGCUGCCGCUGCUGCUGCUGCUGCGGCGGGGUCCGCGUCCACCCUCAGCACCGCUGAUGCGACACAACUGUUCAUCAACACAACGCUUGACUCAUGUGCCCUUAAAUAUGAAGAGUUCGUUAUACCGAAUACAGUUCCUUACUGCAACUGGACCUGGGAUAGCAUACUAUGCUGGCCCCCGACACCAGCCAAUUUGACAAUAAGACAGCGAUGCCCUCCAGCACACGGAAUCGAUACCUCAAAGUUUGCCGAACGACGAUGCAGUGCCGAAGGACAGUGGGAGGGCAAACCGGGCUCCCCGCCAACCCUUCACGGAUGGACCAACUAUACGCCCUGCUACAGCCCGGAAGUUAUACAACUGUUUAGAAAGCUUUACGCCAGCGGCAGCGACGACGAAGCGAAUGACAAGUUUGACAUUGCCGAGCGAACGCGCACACUGGAGACGGUGGGAUUUAGUCUUUCACUAGUAGCGUUAAUUGUUUCGUUAGUCAUAUUUUGUAAAUUUCGCGGUCUGCGCAACAACCGGACGCGAAUACACAAAAAUCUGUUCGUUGCCAUGGUGAUACAGGUGGUGAUCCGCCUGACCGUAUACAUUGACCAAGCGAUCAUACGCAGCGGUGGCAAGAAAGGCAACGAAAGCUCCCGCCAAGGAAUCGAUAACACUCUUUUCCUGUGCGAAGCGUCGUACGUGCUGCUGGAGUACGCCAGGACCUGCAUGUUUAUGUGGAUGUUUAUAGAGGGACUAUAUUUACACAACGUAGUGACGGUGACAGUAUUCCAGGGAAGAUUUCCCCACAAGCUUUACGCGAUCGUCGGCUGGGGCGGCCCACUCAUACUGACCAUCAUCUGGGCCAUCAUAACCGCGCAGUACAUCCGGCAGCAGAAAUGCUGGUGGGGAUACAACUUGACGCCUUAUUACUGGAUUUUGGAAGGUCCAAGACUAGCAGCUGUCGUGUUAAAUUUCAUAUUUCUACUCAACAUUAUACGAGUGCUGAUCGUGAAGCUGCGCCAAAGCCACACCAGCGACGUGGAGCAGGUCCGGAAAGCGGUCCGGGCGGCGGUCGUCCUCGUGCCGCUGCUCGGCAUCACCAACAUACUGAACAUGACGCAGGCACCGCUCGACAAGACGGCCCUCGAGUUUGCCAUCUGGUCGUACGUGACGCACUUUCUCAGCUCCUUCCAGGGAUUCUUCAUCGCGCUGCUGUACUGCUUCCUGAACGGGGAGGUACGGACGGCACUGAUGAAAAGCAUCAGCGUGUACCUGUCGCUCCGUGGGCACCACGAUUGGGCGAUCCGGCGUCAGUCCCUGUUUUCCGCCGGCUAUCCAACCGCCCCGAUCAACGAGACACCGCACGCAGGCGAACCGCAACGCACCCCCAACACCAACAAUAACAACAACAACAAUAAUAAUAGUAGCAGAAACGCCGCCAGCAACAAUCUGCUGGCCGGGGCCGCCAGCAGCAACAACCAUCACACCGCCAACGGUGGUAUGGCCGGCGGCAACGCGAACGGUUUCCGGUGCGGCUGGUUUAGCCGCUGCUUUUUAGUACAAAAAAACACCCACCCGUCCGCACCGGAGCCGGCCCCGCCCGAGUCAGUUGUAUUCGAUAUUUCCGACUAGUUGUGUUUGUGUGUGUGUGUGUGUGUCCUUGGUUGUGUGUGUAUUUUGGUUCCGAUUUUGGUUUUAGUGUCCUUCCUUAACCAGCGUGUGAUGGCGGCUGGCGGAACACGCCCGAAGUAGUACACCGAUCCAAGAGACUAUACGAAACUAGUAAAGCUUUACCACACACACACACAUCCUCCCCAAAUGACUAACGCUGCAGAGCGGUGGAGGUGUGUUGAAGAGAGGAGUCAAUGGAGGAGCACAACACACACGCACAAAAGAAACCAACACAUUGCUAUAUCAGGGCAGCGCAACAAAAACGUGACGGGGAGAAGCAACGCACGUGCGACGAACGCACGCUUAGGGACAUUGGGGCGUGGAGGAGAGCAGGAGGCAUUUCGAAUUUUAUAUAAACGAUUGUUCUGCCGCCAAAACUUUAUUUAAAAAUAGCAAAAGGGAAAGGGGCAGAUGCGGACGGAAGGACGGAAAUUUAUCAAAUUAUUGCUUACGUACGAAUCGAAUUUACUCUGUUACAGAUCGUAGGUUAUAAUGGAGCAAACGGGGCUGAUUGUUAAAGGAAAGGACCCUUAGAAAGGGGAGAGGGGGAGGCACAGAGUGGGUUCCCGCUCGCUGUUUCAAUAUACAUUAUGGCACAUAUUUUAUGGAGGGAAGCGCGAGGGACGACACAGGAGAAGAUGUUACUAAUAUUAACGAUUGUCGAUUGUUUUUUGUCGAUUGUUUCGUAACUGGAUGAGCCUAGCGUUUAAGGGAUGUCGCAAACAAGUACGUAAAAAGAAAAGAAAGAGCCCAAAUCUGCACACCAGCAGCAGCAGCAGCACUACAAACAAACAAAGCGAAACCUAACGCCCAGAAACGCGCAAAAGGGGCGCAGAAAUGGCUUUAGAUUGAUUUAUGUGUAAAAAGCAAAGCAACGCAAACUUCAAACCGAACAAAUAAAUGCAAUGUUGUCUGUUUUUGUACAA